AUGUUAGCUUGCUAACAGGCGUCGAGUUGGCGGACGGGUGAGUAACGCGUAGGAAUCUACCAAAUAGCGGGGGAUAGUCCGGAGGAAAUCCGGAUUAAUACCGCACUAAUCUCUACGGAGUAAAGACGGCCUCUAUUUAUAAGCUUUUCACUAUUUGAUGAGCCUGCGUAAGAUUAGCUUGUUGGUGAGGUAAAAGCUCACCAAGGCGACGAUCUUUAGCUGGUCUGAGAGGAUGAUCAGCCACACUGGGACUGAGACACGGCCCAGACUCC
rnacentral:rRNA from 1 species